rnacentral:misc_RNA from 1 species
GAUGAAGAACGUAGCGAAAUGCGAUAAGUAAUGUGAAUUGCAGAAUUCAGUGAAUCAUCGAAUCUUUGAACGCACAUUGCGCCCUCUGGUAUUCCGGGGGGCAUGCCUGUUCGAGCGUCAUUAUAACCACUCAAGCUCUCGCUUGGUAUUGGGGUUCGCGGUUUCGCGGCCCCUAAAAUCAGUGGCGGUGCCUGUCGGCUCUACGCGUAGUAAUACUUCUCGCGAUUGAGUUCGAUAGGUCUACUUGCCAGUAACCCCCAAUUUUUACAGGUUGACCUCGAAUCAGGUAGGAAUACCCGCUGAACUUAAGCAUAUCAAUAAGCGGAGGA